AUACGGAGGGUGCAAGCGUUACUGGGAAUUACUGGGCGUAAAGGACGCGUAGGCGGUUUAGAAAGUCAGAUGUGAAAGCCUAUGGCUUAACCAUAGAACUGCAUCUGAAACUCCUAGACUAGAGUGAGGGAGAGGUCAGUGGAAUUAGUGGUGUAGGGGUAAAAUCCGUAGAGAUCACUAGGAAUACUCAUAGCGAAGGCGACUGACUGGAACUUUACUGACGCUGAGGCGUGAAAGCGUGGGGAGCAAACAGGAUUAGAUACCCCGGUAGUCC
rnacentral:rRNA from 1 species